rnacentral:rRNA from 1 species
CCCGCUGAACUUAAGCAUAUCAAUAAGCGGAGGAAAAGAAACCAACAGGGAUUGCCCUAGUAGCGGCGAGCGAAGCGGCAACAGCUCAGAUUUGAAAUCUGGCCCCUCCGGGGUCCGAGUUGUAAUCUGCAGGGGAUGCUUUUGGCGCGGUGCCCACCCAAGUUCCCUGGAACGGGACGCCAUAGAGGGUGAGAGCCCCGUACGGUGGGACGCCAAGCCUCUGUAAAGCUCCUCCGAAGAGUCGAGUAGUUUGGGAAUGCUGCUCUAAGCGGGAGGUAUAUUCCUUCUAAAGCUAAAUAUAGGCCAGAGACCGAUAGCGCACAAGUAGCGUAAGCGAAAGCUGAAAAGAACCUUGAAAAGAGGGUUAAAUAGUACGUGAAACCGUUGAGGGGGAACCGCUUGUGAACAGAAACGUGGGCCAGGCGGAUCAUCUGGUGGUCCCCACCGGUGCGCUCCGACCUGUCACCCGGGCCAGCACCGGCUCUCGCGGCGGGAAAAACGCGUCGGGAAUGUGGCUCCCCUUCGGGGGUGUGUUAUAGACCUUCGCGCAAUACCGCCCGCGGGGGCCGAGGUACCCAGCGCCUUCGGGCAAGGAUGCUGGCAUAAUGUUCAUCAGCGACCCGUCUUGAAACACGG